UUAAGAAGAGCAUGUUGUGAUGGGUCAAGAUGUGAUCUGAACCGGAAAGUUGGUUAUGCUAAUAAGAGCUAUGUGAUAAUCUUCUCUUCUUCCUUCUGUUUUCUAUUUCUUUUAUUUUUUUCUAACAAAACGAAAAGCCUACGGCCAGAUUCUACGGCGCGAGUUUGAGAGGAGGAGAGAUCGAGUUAUAGAAACCAAAACGUGGUAGGCAUAGGGGGCGCGAUUUUUUGAGAAAGAGAAGGAGAUUCUUCGGGAUUCUGGAGUUUUUGGGCAAACUUGGGAGAAAGUCUAAUUAGGAACAAAGCGAAGAGGACGAAGGAGAAAGAGAGAGCGCGGAGGACGUGAGUUCGGUGCGCGAGCAGUACGAGAUUAGGGUUUUCGGGUUUAAUUGUGAGAAUAUAUCGAACCAGUUGAAUGCAGAUUGAAGGAGAAUAAACCACAAAAAUUAGUAUUUUGUCUCUCCAAUUUCUUGAUAAGUCAGAGAACAGUCACGGACAGACGCACGAACACCACCAGACCAGUAGCGAUGUCUUCCUCUUCUAUCACUGCCACAACCACCAUAACAAUUCAAAGCUCAGAGCCAUCAACCUCUUCAUCUCAGAACCAA